UUCUAUUUCCUUUAUCUUUGCCAGAUAAAAGCCCCUUCAGUAACCACGACUCAUUUUAAUCAAUCGCUCCACCUAUUUAAUGCUAAAGCUUCAUGUUUAAAAUAAUUUUUGACGAGGAAAGAUAAAAAUGUGUAGUUUGUCCUACUUCCAAGUUAAUCCAAUUACUUUUUUCAAAUCACAGCAUUGUCAAUCUCCUGAGAGGUAUUUGAGAAUUUUUCAUAGAAAUAAAACACAUUCUUAGAUUAUGUGUCUUAAUCACUAAACACGGAAUUGUAACCUGGUUUGCAAAAUUCUGGCUAAGAUAACCAAGGUGUAGAAUUUUUCACAUAUACGUCAUAACUAGCCCUACAUCAGCAUCAGUAGUGAAGUGGUGUCCUGCAGACCCCCAGGUAAAAAAAACAAAC